UACUCAAAGUUUGAAACAUAUUUCUAUGACAGCCUUGUAUCCAUAUUCCAAGGUAACGUGUAUCUCCAAAAAUCCACAUAGAAGUAAAGGUGCUUUCCAACGCAAAACUAUUAAAUGACUC